rnacentral:lncRNA from 1 species
GUUAUAUAGUAGUUGGUCCAGGUCAGGUCAGUGUGUUAUAUAGUAGUUGGUCCAGAUCAGUGUGUUAUAUAGUAGUUGGUCCAGGUCAGUGUGUUAUAUAGUAGUUGGUCCAGGUCAGAUCAGUGUGUUAUAUAGUAGUUGGUCCAGAUCAGUGUGUUAUAUAGUAGUUGGUCCAGGUCAGUGUGUUAUAUAGUAGUUGGUCCAGGUCAGAUCAGAGUGUUAUAUAGUAGUUGGUCCAGGUCAGAUCAGUGUGUUAUAUAGUAGUUGGUCCAGGUCAGGUCAGUGUGUUAUAUAGUAGUUGGUCCAGGUCAGUGUGUUAUAUAGUAGUUGGUCCAGGACAGAUCAGUG